GGUUAAGCGACUAAGCGUACACGGUGGAUGCCCUGGCAGUCAGAGGCGAUGAAGGACGUGCUAAUCUGCGAUAAGCGUCGGUAAGGUGAUAUGAACCGUUAUAACCGGCGAUUUCCGAAUGGGGAAACCCAGUGUGAUUCGUCACACUAUCAUUAACUGAAUCCAUAGGUUAAUGAGGCGAACCGGGGGAACUGAAACAUCUAAGUACCCCGAGGAAAAGAAAUCAACCGAGAUUCCCCCAGUAGCGGCGAGCGAACGGGGAGCAGCCCAGAGCCUGAAUCAGUGUGUGUGUUAGUGGAAGCGUCUGGAAAGGCGCGCGAUACAGGGUGACAGCCCCGUACACAAAAAUGCACAUGCUGUGAGCUCGAUGAGUAGGGCGGGACACGUGGUAUCCUGUCUGAAUAUGGGGGGACCAUCCUCCAAGGCUAAAUACUCCUGACUGACCGAUAGUGAACCAGUACCGUGAGGGAAAGGCGAAAAGAACCCCGGCGAGGGGAGUGAAAAAGAACCUGAAACCGUGUACGUACAAGCAGUGGGAGCACAGAGCAAUCUGUGUGACUGCGUACCUUUUGUAUAAUGGGUCAGCGACUUAUAUUCUGUAGCAAGGUUAACCGAAUAGGGGAGCCGAAGGGAAACCGAGUCUUAACUGGGCGUUAAGUUGCAGGGUAUAGACCCGAAACCCGGUGAUCUAGCCAUGGGCAGGUUGAAGGUUGGGUAACACUAACUGGAGGACCGAACCGACUAAUGUUGAAAAAUUAGCGGAUGACUUGUGGCUGGGGGUGAAAGGCCAAUCAAACCGGGAGAUAGCUGGUUCUCCCCGAAAGCUAUUUAGGUAGCGCCUCGUGAAUUCAUCUCCGGGGGUAGAGCACUGUUUCGGCAAGGGGGUCAUCCCGACUUACCAACCCGAUGCAAACUGCGAAUACCGGAGAAUGUUAUCACGGGAGACACACGGCGGGUGCUAACGUCCGUCGUGAAGAGGGAAACAACCCAGACCGCCAGCUAAGGUCCCAAAGUCAUGGUUAAGUGGGAAACGAUGUGGGAAGGCCCAGACAGCCAGGAUGUUGGCUUAGAAGCAGCCAUCAUUUAAAGAAAGCGUAAUAGCUCACUGGUCGAGUCGGCCUGCGCGGAAGAUGUAACGGGGCUAAACCAUGCACCGAAGCUGCGGCAGCGACGCUUAUGCGUUGUUGGGUAGGGGAGCGUUCUGUAAGCCUGUGAAGGUGUACUGUGAGGUAUGCUGGAGGUAUCAGAAGUGCGAAUGCUGACAUAAGUAACGAUAAAGCGGGUGAAAAGCCCGCUCGCCGGAAGACCAAGGGUUCCUGUCCAACGUUAAUCGGGGCAGGGUGAGUCGACCCCUAAGGCGAGGCCGAAAGGCGUAGUCGAUGGGAAACAGGUUAAUAUUCCUGUACUUGGUGUUACUGCGAAGGGGGGACGGAGAAGGCUAUGUUGGCCGGGCGACGGUUGUCCCGGUUUAAGCGUGUAGGCUGGUUUUCCAGGCAAAUCCGGAAAAUCAAGGCUGAGGCGUGAUGACGAGGCACUACGGUGCUGAAGCAACAAAUGCCCUGCUUCCAGGAAAAGCCUCUAAGCAUCAGGUAACAUCAAAUCGUACCCCAAACCGACACAGGUGGUCAGGUAGAGAAUACCAAGGCGCUUGAGAGAACUCGGGUGAAGGAACUAGGCAAAAUGGUGCCGUAACUUCGGGAGAAGGCACGCUGAUAUGUAGGUGAAGUCCCUCGCGGAUGGAGCUGAAAUCAGUCGAAGAUACCAGCUGGCUGCAACUGUUUAUUAAAAACACAGCACUGUGCAAACACGAAAGUGGACGUAUACGGUGUGACGCCUGCCCGGUGCCGGAAGGUUAAUUGAUGGGGUCAGCGCAAGCGAAGCUCUUGAUCGAAGCCCCGGUAAACGGCGGCCGUAACUAUAACGGUCCUAAGGUAGCGAAAUUCCUUGUCGGGUAAGUUCCGACCUGCACGAAUGGCGUAAUGAUGGCCAGGCUGUCUCCACCCGAGACUCAGUGAAAUUGAACUCGCUGUGAAGAUGCAGUGUACCCGCGGCAAGACGGAAAGACCCCGUGAACCUUUACUAUAGCUUGACACUGAACAUUGAGCCUUGAUGUGUAGGAUAGGUGGGAGGCUUUGAAGUGUGGACGCCAGUCUGCAUGGAGCCGACCUUGAAAUACCACCCUUUAAUGUUUGAUGUUCUAACGUUGACCCGUGAUCCGGGUUGCGGACAGUGUCUGGUGGGUAGUUUGACUGGGGCGGUCUCCUCCUAAAGAGUAACGGAGGAGCACGAAGGUUGGCUAAUCCUGGUCGGACAUCAGGAGGUUAGUGCAAUGGCAUAAGCCAGCUUGACUGCGAGCGUGACGGCGCGAGCAGGUGCGAAAGCAGGUCAUAGUGAUCCGGUGGUUCUGAAUGGAAGGGCCAUCGCUCAACGGAUAAAAGGUACUCCGGGGAUAACAGGCUGAUACCGCCCAAGAGUUCAUAUCGACGGCGGUGUUUGGCACCUCGAUGUCGGCUCAUCACAUCCUGGGGCUGAAGUAGGUCCCAAGGGUAUGGCUGUUCGCCAUUUAAAGUGGUACGCGAGCUGGGUUUAGAACGUCGUGAGACAGUUCGGUCCCUAUCUGCCGUGGGCGCUGGAGAACUGAGGGGGGCUGCUCCUAGUACGAGAGGACCGGAGUGGACGCAUCACUGGUGUUCGGGUUGUCAUGCCAAUGGCACUGCCCGGUAGCUAAAUGCGGAAGAGAUAAGUGCUGAAAGCAUCUAAGCACGAAACUUGCCCCGAGAUGAGUUCUCCCUGACUCCUUGAGAGUCCUGAAGGAACGUUGAAGACGACGACGUUGAUAGGCCGGAUGUGUAAGCGCAGCGAUGCGUUGAGCUAACCGGUACUAAUGAACCGUGAGGCUUAACCUU
rnacentral:rRNA from 1 species